UACGAAGGGGGCUAGCGUUACUCGGAAUGACUGGGCGUAAAGGGCGCGUAGGCGGCUUGGUUAGUUAGGCGUGAAAUUCCUGGGCUCAACCUGGGGGCUGCGCUUAAUACAGCUAGGCUGGAGUGUGAAAGAGGGUCGUGGAAUUCCCAGUGUAGAGGUGAAAUUCGUAGAUAUUGGGAAGAACACCGGUGGCGAAGGCGGCGACCUGGUUCAUUACUGACGCUGAGGCGCGAAAGCGUGGGGAUCAAACAGG
rnacentral:rRNA from 1 species